rfam:Ixodes scapularis strain Wikel colony gcontig_1107729023572, whole genome shotgun sequence.
GCAGUCGUGGCCAAGUGGUUAAGGCGAUGGAUUAGAAAUCCAUUUGGGGUCUCCCCGCACAAGUUCGAAUCCUGUCGACUGCA